GCGGAAGUGGCUCAGUGGUAGAGCAUCGCCUUGCCAAGGCGAGGGUCGCGGGUUCGAAUCCCGUUUUCCGCUCCA
rnacentral:tRNA from 2 species